rnacentral:piRNA from 1 species
AUGCUUCAUAAAGGAGAAUGUGUAAUAGC